rnacentral:lncRNA from 1 species
UGUGCCCAUUUGUGCCCAUUUUUUCCCAUUUGUGCCCAUUUUGUGCCCAUUUUGUGCCCAUUUUGGUACCCAGGUAGUCGGGCACGUGGUGCAGGUGCGGCUGAGGCUGAUCCCAGUUCCCAUUUUUAUCCCAUUUUCCCCAUUUUUUUCCCCAUUUUUCCCCCAUUUUUUCCCCAUUUGUGCCCAUUUUUUCCCAAAAUUCCCAUUUCUGUGCCCAUUUUUUCCCAAAAUUCCCAUUUCUGUGCCCAUUUUGGUACCCAGGUAGUAGUGCAUGUGGCGCAGGUGCGGCUGAGGCUGAUCCCAGUUCCCGUUUUUAUCCCAAUUUUCCCAUUUUUCCCCCAUUUUUGCCCAAAAUUCCCAUUUCUGUGCCCAUUUUUUCCCAAAAUUCCCAUUUCUGUGCCCAUUUUUUCCCAAAAUUCCCAUUUCUGUGCCCAUUUUGGUACCCAAGUAGUCGGGCACGUGGCGCAGGUGCGGCUGAACUUUGGCCGGGUGCAGGGGCCGGUCGUGCCUCAGGGCCUGCAGGUCCCGGGGGUUGUCCUCAAAAUACACCUGGAAUUAAUUAAUUAACGUUAAUUGCCAUUAAUUAAUCCUUAAUUAAUCCCUCAUUAAUCGAUCAUUAAUUAUUCAUCAAGGGGCAGGGCCCGGUUGUGCCUCAGGGCCUGCA